AGCCAUGCCGCGUGUGUGAAGAAGGCCUUCGGGUUGUAAAGCACUUUCAGUCGUGAGGAAGGUAGUGUAGUUAAUAGCUGCAUUAUUUGACGUUAGCGACAGAAGAAGCACCGGCUAACUCCGUGCCAGCAGCCGCGGUAAUACGGAGGGUGCGAGCGUUAAUCGGAAUUACUGGGCGUAAAGCGCAUGCAGGUGGUUUGUUAAGUCAGAUGUGAAAGCCCGGGGCUCAACCUCGGAAUAGCAUUUGAAACUGGCAGACUAGAGUACUGUAGAGGGGGGUAGAAUUUCAGGUGUAGCGGUGAAAUGCGUAGAGAUCUGAAGGAAUACCGGUGGCGAAGGCGGCCCCCUGGACAGAUACUGACACUCAGAUGCGAAAGCGUGGGGAGCAAACAGGAUUAGAUACCCUGGUAGUCCACGCCGUAAACGAUGUCUACUUGGAGGUUGUGGCCUUGAGCCGUGGCUUUCGGAGCUAACGCGUUAAGUAGACCGCCUGGGGAGUACGGUCGCAAGAUUAAAACUCAAAUGAAUUGACGGGGGCCCGCACAAGCGGUGGAGCAUGUGGUUUAAUUCGAUGCAACGCGAAGAACCUUACCUACUCUUGACAUCCAGAGAACUUUCCAGAGAUGGAUUGGUGCCUUCGGGAACUCUGAGACAGGUGCUGCAUGGCUGUCGUCAGCUCGUGUUGUGAAAUGUUGGGUUAAGUCCCGCAACGAGCGCAACCCUUAUCCUUGUUUGCCAGCGAGUAAUGUCGGGAACUCCAGGGAGACUGCCGGUGAUAAACCGGAGGAAGGUGGGGACGACGUCAAGUCAUCAUGGCCCUUACGAGUAGGGCUACACACGUGCUACAAUGGCGCAUACAGAGGGCGGCCAACUUGCGAAAGUGAGCGAAUCCCAAAAAGUGCGUCGUAGUCCGGAUUGGAGUCUGCAACUCGACUCCAUGAAGUCGGAAUCGCUAGUAAUCGUGGAUCAGAAUGCCACGGUAAUACGUUCCCGGGCCUUGUACACACCGCCCGUCACACCAUGGGGAGUGGCUGCAAAAGAAGUAGGUAGUUUAACCUUCGGGGGGACGCUUACCACUU
rnacentral:rRNA from 1 species